CACGAAACCGGGAAGUGCUCCGCCCGCGACCUGUCUAUCUGUAACAAGAUAUUCUCAAAUUGGGAAGAGCUCAGACAUCUCUGACUGUCAAAAGACAGAUGACCUAGAACCUGUUCGGAGCUCUGUGGAUCAUUAAUUAAUAAUCCGUCUACUCUACAGCAAUCCCACACGAUGGAUGUAAAGGAUCUCGGAGUAAAAAUACUCAGCUUUAUUUCCAUUCUCUCAAAUUGCUCGAUGAACGGAUAUGGUUCAAGCUUGAAGUGUUGUUUCGAGGUUUUGAGAAACCACUCGGUUUCCUAUCAUCUCAGUGAGCCACCUGGAGCCUUCUGCACACCAACAUGGUCAGAAAUGGAAUUCGUUGUGGUUGAUGAACAUGGAGGCGUGGAUGAGACAAAGGUAGUAUAUCUUGAACCCCAGAAGUUAAUCGUCAAAGAAAACACGGAUGAGAAGAUCAAAGAGGUCACAUACCGAAAGGACUGCCUAGGGCAUGCUUUCACUACAAGAUGUAAUGAUCCUUGUCCUGCUUUGGACCCACCCAGAACUACAGCCCCAUACAAUAACACCACUGAAGAAACUGGUAGAAAUCAUGUCAUUAUGUAUAUCAUUGGUGUCAUCAUCAUCUUCAUUAUCGCUGUGACUGUCAUCUGUCUCCGAAGAAAGUGCCAAUCUUGAAAUCUUAAUUUAAGCAGAUGCCAACUGGACGUGACAAAGUGAACAUUGAAAAUCCAGUUGUCCUUUGUGUCAGAGUGCUGGAGUUCGUCAGAAAGAGAACGGGGCAUCAGUUUACUGUCAUGGAUUUGUUGUGUCGUGUCGCGCCGCAUCCACUGAUAGAACAUCACUGGGUUCUAUUUGCUUUUGUCAUGUCGCGCCCCUCUUGACUGGUGUCUGUAGACACGUUGUUUUGGUAUUUGUGAAUCUUAAAGGGAUACUCCAACCCAAAAUGAAAAUUUUGUCAUUAAUCACUUACCCACAUGUCGUUCCAAACCCGUAAAUGCUCUGUUCGUCUUCGGAAUACAAUUUAAGAUAUUUUGGAUGAAAACCGGGAGGCCUGUGACUGUCCCAUAGACUGCCAAGUAAAUAGCAGUGUCAAGGUCCAUAAAAGGUAUGAAAGUCGUCGUCAG
ensembl:lncRNA